GCUAACAUCUCAUGCCUUCUCAGUACCCUUAUAAAAUAAUCCUUUGUUUACUAGAAUAAUUAUAAUUUAUGCCAUUCUAUACUAUUGACCGACCAACAUCAUAUAUAGAAAGCAAUUUUAAUAUAAGGCUUUAUAACUUGGUUAAACUUUUUUUCUUUCUUGAGCAACUAUAACUUGGUUAACCAACCACCGGUUUAGUUUAUGGUUUUUUUUUUCUUUCGGUUUAGUGUUUGUUUACAUAUUAAUUUAGGGAAAUUGGGAGCUAUAGACAUGAAAAAAAGGUAAUUCACCCUAUAGCACUUUUACCUAACAGAUGUAUAGACAGCGUCAAUAAUACAUAAUAAUACUAUCCUACCUUUUCCCUUUCACCGGCUAACCUGCUACAAUUAAAAAAAAAAAUUAUACCUUUUACUGUCCAAAGUAAAUCGUGUAUUCUCCCAUUCCACACACCUUCUCCUUCUCGCUUUCUUCGUCGGUUCUCUCUGAAAUUCCA
rnacentral:lncRNA from 1 species